GUUCAGCUGAAGAGUCUCAAAUAGAACGAAACACACGUCAUGGGU
rnacentral:hammerhead_ribozyme from 1 species